rnacentral:rRNA from 1 species
GAUGAACGCUAGCUACAGGCUUAACACAUGCAAGUCGAGGGACCGGCGCACGGGUGAGUAACACGUAUCCAACCUGCCCUUUACUCGGGGAUAGCCUUUCGAAAGAAAGAUUAAUACCCGAUAUAAAGGAUGGGGAUGCGUUCCAUUAGGUUGUUGGUGAGGUAACGGCUCACCAAGCCUUCGAUGGAUGGGGGUUCUGAGAGGAAGGUCCCCCGCGAUGGAAAUGAGGCACGGACCAAACUCCUACGGGAGGGAGCAGUGGGGGAUAUUGGUCAGUAGGCGCUAGCCUGGACCUGCCAAGUAGCGUGAAGGAUGCAGGCUUAUGGGUGGUAAACUUCUAUUAUAGAAGAAUAUGUAUUAUAUGAAUAAGGAUCGGCUAACUCCGUGCCAGCAGCCGCGGUAAUAC